GAACAAAACCACAAGGAUUACAGUUUCGACCUGUAAUACAAUUUAUAACAAUUUUUGUUUA
rnacentral:tRNA from 1 species